GGACAGAUGGCCUAGUCGGUCUAAGGCGCAACUUAAGGCCUUGUUCUCUUCUGAGUCGUGCGUUCGAAUCUCACUUUGUUCA